UACGUAGGGUGCAAGCGUUAAUCGGAAUUACUGGGCGUAAAGCGUGCGCAGGCGGUUUUGUAAGACUGUUGUGAAAUCCCCGGGCUCAACCUGGGAAUGGCAAUGGAUACUGGCUAGCUAGAGUGUGUCAGAGGAUGGUGGAAUUCCCGGUGUAGCGGUGAAAUGCGUAGAGAUCGGGAGGAACAUCAGUGGCGAAGGCGGCCAUCUGGGACAACACUGACGCUGAAGCACGAAAGCGUGGGGAGCAAACAGG
rnacentral:rRNA from 1 species